GCCGGCGUAGCUCAGGUAGUUAGAGCGUGGGACUCAUAAGCCCGAGGUCGGUGGUGCAAGUCCACCCGCCGGUA
rnacentral:tRNA from 1 species